AGUGAACGCUGGCGGUAGGCCUAACACAUGCAAGUCGAACGGCAGCACAGUAAGAGCUUGCUCUUACGGGUGGCGAGUGGCGGACGGGUGAGGAAUACAUCGGAAUCUACUUUUUCGUGGGGGAUAACGUAGGGAAACUUACGCUAAUACCGCAUACGACCUACGGGUGAAAGCAGGGGAUCUUCGGACCUUGCGCGAUUGAAUGAGCCGAUGUCGGAUUAGCUAGUUGGCGGGGUAAAGGCCCACCAAGGCGACGAUCAGUAGCUGGUCUGAGAGGAUGAUCAGCCACACUGGAACGGAGACACGGUCCAGACUCCUACGGGAGGCAGCAGUGGGGAAUAUUGGACAAUGGGCGCAAGCCUGAUCCAGCCAUACCGCGUGGGUGAAGAAGGCCUUCGGGGUGUAAAGCCCUUUUGUUGGGAAAGAAAAGCAGCAGGUUAAUACCCCGCUGUGCUGACGGUACCCAAAGAAGAAGCACCGGCUAACUUCGUG
rnacentral:rRNA from 1 species